rnacentral:rRNA from 1 species
GAUGAACGCUGGCGGCGUGCCUAAUACAUGCCAGUCGAGCGAACGGACGAGAAGCUUGCUUUUCUGAUGUUAGCGGCGGACGGGUGAGUAACACGUGGAUAACCUACCUAUAAGACUGGGAUAACUUCGGGAAACCGGAGCUAAUACCGGAUAAUAUUUUGAACCGCAUGGUUCAAAAGUGAAAGACGGUCUUGCUGUCACUUAUAGAUGGAUCCGCGCUGCAUUAGCUAGUUGGUAAGGUAACGGCUUACCAGGGCAACGAUGCGUAGCCGACCUGAGAGGGUGAUCGGCCACACUGGAACUGAGACACGGUCCAGACUCCUACGGGAGGCAGCAGUAGGGAAUCUUCCGCAAUGGGCGAAAGCCUGACGGAGCAACGCCGCGUGAGUGAUGAAGGUCUUCGGAUCGUAAAACUCUGUUAUUAGGGAAGAACAUAUGUGUAAGUAACUGUGCACAUCUUGACGGUACCUAAUCAGAAAGCCACGGCUAACUACGUG